rnacentral:rRNA from 1 species
GACGAACGCUGGCGGCGUGCUUAACACAUGCAAGUCGAACGGAAAGGCCCUGCUUUUGUGGGGUGCUCGAGUGGCGAACGGGUGAGUAACACGUGAGUAACCUGCCCUUGACUUUGGGAUAACUUCAGGAAACUGGGGCUAAUACCGGAUAGGAGCUCCUGCUGCAUGGUGGGGGUUGGAAAGUUUCGGCGGUUGGGGAUGGACUCGCGGCUUAUCAGCUUGUUGGUGGGGUAGUGGCUUACCAAGGCUUUGACGGGUAGCCGGCCUGAGAAGGUGACCGGCCACAUUGGGAAUGAGAUACGGCCCAGACUCCUACGGGAGGCAGCAGUGGGGAAUAUUGCACAAUGGGCGGAAGCCUGAUGCAGCAACGCCGCGUGCGGGAUGACGGCCUUCGGGUUGUAAACCGCUUUCGCCUGUGACGAAGCGUGAGUGACGGUAAUGGGUAAAGAAGCACCGGCUAACUACGUG